AGAGAUGUCAGAAAAUUCCAGCAAAAAUAGAAACGGGCAGAUAUUGCCAGUGUUCAUUCUGGACAAGGGACAAAUAAGUGAACACUGGCAAUAUCUGCCCCUGUUUCUAUUUUUGCUGAAUUUUCUGACAUCUCU
rnacentral:miRNA from 1 species